UACGUAGGGGGCAAGCGUUGUCCGGAAUCAUUGGGCGUAAAGAGCGUGUAGGCGGCCCGAUAAGUCCGCUCUGAAAGCCCGGGGCUCGAACCCCGGGAGGCGGGUGGAUACUGCUGAGCUCGAGUCCGGAAGAGGAGUGUGGAAUUCCGUGGGUGUAGCGGUGAAAUGCGCAGAUAUCAGGAGGAACACCAAUGGCGAAGGCAGCACUCUGGGACGGUACUGACGCUGAGACGCGAAAGCGUGGGGAGCAAACAGGG
rnacentral:rRNA from 1 species